GGUUUGGCUGGUGUCUUGUGUGGAUCUGCAACUUGUUGCCGUUAGUGGUCAUGGUUCUAGGAGGGUUAUAUGCAUUGUUAGUGUUGGAUAUCUAAUGGAUAUUUGAGGUAGUCUCAUUUCGAUGGCUGUUGUCCCUCCCUGUAGGCUAUAAGAGAUGAGUUCUGCCCACUCCCCCUCUAAUGGCUGCUAGUGACUGAAGUGUUGCUAUAACUCUCGAGGUUCAGCAGAUGGCUGGGAUUGAUGUUAAAGUAGUGGUUUCUAGCUAGUGGGGGUGUUUUCUUGUUUGCUAUGGACCUCUACCCUUUCAUCUCUUCUAGCCAUCAUUUUCAGCUCCAGCAGAUAGAAAAACCCACAGUGCUAGCAGGGUGCAUGGAGAUGAGUUCUUUCAGUUCUCUACAGUUAGGGCUUCUGAGUUUGGGAUUCUUGGUUUGUGCUAGGUUUAGCUUCACUGCCUUUUACUUGUUUACUAGAACUCUUGUAACUCUGCUUUCU
rnacentral:misc_RNA from 1 species